UCCCUGGUAGCUUAGUCGGUAAAGAAUCUGCCUGCAGUGCAGGAGAGCCAGGUUUGAUCCCUGGGUAGGGAA
rnacentral:tRNA from 1 species